ACAGUAAAUAUUCCACUCCACUCUCCUCUUGCUUGCAUGGUUUCUAAUAAGAAGUCUGCUAUAAUUCUUUUCCUUAAUCUUCUAGGUCAACAUUAUUCAUAAAUUGACUGCAGGCCUCGUUAUAUUCCACUGGGUGGCUUUACAGGUGUCACCACGAUGAACAUCUGACAUCGGUUCUUCUAAUGUAAAGGAAAUGACCUGACAAGACUGUGGAAUCCCACAAGAAAAUCUGUUAAGUGCAAGGCAAGAUAACUUGCUGACAACAACCAGGAAACCUGCUCCACAGCGCUCCUCUCAUCGGAACGGUCUGAUGUGUGGGCUCAGUGAGGAGCGGCUCCGUCUGCGGCCAGGGGCGGACGCUGUACCACCAGGUUCCUCAGACAUACACG